AGGACGAACGCUGGCGGCGUGCCUAACACAUGCAAGUUGAGCGACGAACCAGGGCUUGCCCUGGGGCAAAGCAGCGAACGGGUGAGUAACACGUGGGUGACCUGCCCCCUACUCUGGGAUAAGCCUGGGAAACUGGGUCUAAUACCGGAUAUGACUCAAGGCUGCAUGGUUUUGGGUGGAGAGCUUUUUGUGGUGGGGGAUGGGCCCGCGGCCUAUCAGCUUGUUGGUGGGGUGAUGGCCUACCAAGGCUUCG
rnacentral:rRNA from 1 species